CCUUACAUGUAUAUACAAACUGGAGAUAGACAAGUAGCUGAAUUUAUUACACAAGAUACUGUGUUCUCUGUUGUGGUAUUGCUGUUAAAUUGUUUAGAUAUUAAUAUCCAAAUUUUGACUCUGUUACUCGCAUAUUGGAUGUAUGGCGAAUGAACUGAUUCUUUGAUGACAUGGUUAUUUUGAUUUUAUUGUUACAUAUAGGUCAGUCAAUCUAUAGUUCCGUCACUGAUGCUAAAAUAUUGUAAUUGAAGUAAUAAAAUUAUCAUAUCAUGUUGAAGACCC
rnacentral:sRNA from 1 species